GGAAGGAGCUGCAGCCCCCAGCCCCUGUCCCUGCAGCUCCUGGACACCCUGGAGCUGCUCCCAGCCCUGCCAUGGAGGGAAAGGCAGAUUAUCAGCAGAGCGUGGUGAAGCUGGUGGCUGCAUUUGAAGAGCACUGCAGGGACAGCACAUCUGCCCAGAGGGACAAGCAGGCAGGCAGGCAGCUUCCAGCAUUCCCUGCCAGCCAGAGCCACUCCCUGACCAGAAAAGAGGAUGAGGAGGAUCAGCGAGGUCAGCGUGGACUCAGCUUCAAAUGCCUCCGUUCUCUGCGAUCCAAAAUCCGUGAGGACAACUGGAGGAGGCCACAGGGCCCAGGCCUGGAGCCUGGCAGCCAGGAACCAGAGGAGAAGAAAAUCGCCCUGGAGCUGCUGGAGACAGAGCAGGCU
rnacentral:lncRNA from 1 species